GGACUACUAGGGUAUCUAAUCCUGUUUGAUCCCCACGCUUUCGUGCCUCAGUGUCAAUACACCCGUAGUAAGCUGCCUUCGCAAUUGGUGUUCUAUGUCAUAUCUAAGCAUUUCACCGCUACAUGACAUAUUCCGCUUACCUCCAGAUGAUUCAAGAUCUAUAGUAUCAAUGGCAGUUUCCGAGUUAAGCUCGGAGAUUUCACCACUGACUUACAAACCCACCUACGCACCCUUUAAACCCAGUGAAUCCGGAUAACGCUUGCACCCUCCGUAUUACCGCGGCUGCUGGCAC
rnacentral:rRNA from 1 species